rnacentral:lncRNA from 1 species
AAACAAACAGUAGGAGUUUCUUUCCACAGUGGAAGGGAGAAUAAUGAGAAGAAGGAUGCAGAAGAGAGGGGAAAGUUGAAAGUAGCUGAUAUGGGACCACAGAAUAUUGGCCAAUCAAUUGUAAUGACUAUACUUAUACCUAAACAAGUAAUAAAUAAAUGCAUUUGGCUUCCUUACCUUGAGUAUUGAAUCAACAUUUGAAAACAAAGUAAUCAACCUUUGGCAAUUUGGUUUCCUGGAUCUUUCAGCCAUCUCCUCCCCCAACUCUCUGCUUCCCCUUCUUCUACCUCUCGCCUCCUCCCCCUCCAAUCUGGCUUUCCCUCCUUCCUGGCAG